rnacentral:rRNA from 1 species
CCUACGGGUGGCUGCAGUCGAGAAUCUUUGUCAAUGGACGAAAGUCUGAACAAGCGACGCCGCGUGCGGGAUGAAGGCCUUCGGGUUGUAAACCGCUGUCGUAGGGGAACAAAUGUACGGGGGUACUCCCCUGUAUUUGAGUGAUCCUAGGAGGAAGGAGAGGCUAAGCUCGUGCCAGCAGCCGCGGUAAGACGAGCUCUCCAAACGUUAUUCGGUAUCACUGGGCUUAAAGAGUUCGUAGGCGGCCUUACAGGUCAGGUGUGAAAUCCCACAGC